rnacentral:misc_RNA from 1 species
GAUGAAGAACGUAGUGAAAUGCGAUAAGUAAUGUGAAUUGCAGAAUUCAGUGAAUCAUCGAAUCUUUGAACGCACAUUGCGCCCCCCGGCAUUCCGGGGAGCAUGCCUGUUCGAGCGUCUCCAGGACGAAUCCUCGCGCGAGUGAACGCGCGGUCGUGGCGGAGGUGGCGUGCCCGAGCAGGGCGGCCACCGCGCUGGAAUCCAUGGGCGGACGCCUGCCGCGUGGCCGAGCGUGAUAUGACGCAUUGGCGCUCGUGCGCGGCGAGGCUGCCAGCCCUGGCCCGUCUGUCGGGCGGGGUAGAUCACCACGUGGGAACUCCUCGAAUCAGGUAGGGAUACCCGCUGAACUUAAGCAUAUCAAAAGCGGAGGA